AUUGUAUAACCAUGCAUGUACCGCUGAGGACAGUAAAAAUAUCUCAACAAGAACUAUGAUAUUGAAAUGUGAAAGGAUGAAGGAUUCUGAUUCCAUGUCACCUACCCAAAAACAUCCAAACUCCAAACCUGAUCCAAGUGGCAGACGACAGUUUGAGCAUUAGAUAAACAUUAACAAAGACACUGAUCACAGGUAGGAUUGGAAGAAGAGGCACCUGUAUCAAAAUGAAAAACAUAUCAUCAGAUGUUGUAAAACACAUGUACUUCAAAAUUCAAAACUAUUGUUGCAAACAUUCCCUUCAACAUUAGUACUGUACCACAUAUACCACCAUCAAGUUGUAUGUUCAGAUUUUGCUUCACAUCUUGGUGCCCAAUUCACAUGAAUCAACUGGAAGUGGUGAGGUUUGGUUUUCAAACUUACCUUAAAGUUGACUAAAUCCUGAUUUUGGGGUUGUAGCCAUGUUGAAUAAACUAGAAUGAAUAUGAGGAGACAAACAACACUAACUAGUGCUAUGGACCACCAAACACCAGAUGAAAUGAAGUCCUCAAGAAAAAUUAGUAUUAAAGACUCGGCAAUGUUCAACACACCUGAAAGAAAAUUAAAUUAGUGUUAAGUUAACUUCAAUCACUUAACACUUGUCAUCAGUAAAUAUUAUUUCAUCUCCAUGCACCUAUCCAAGUUUAUAAGGAUACUUACAUAUAAUGGUGAUAUUCCAAAAUGAGACAGUUUCUGACAGUCACCUGCAAACAGUCCAGAGAGAAGCGUGCCUGCCACAGGUGUUUUAAACCUCUCACUAACAGUGCCAAGAAACUGAAAGAGUAGACCAUCACUGGCCAUUGCAUAGAUGACUCGGGGCAAUGGAAACAUGGCACCAAGGAGACUGAAACAAUUAUAAUCCUUUGUCAUCAUUUGUUUUAAAUAAUGGAGUAAAUCUUUUCAAUUUCUGAAUAGAAAACAAGGUCUUGAGCCCUUCCUGAGAUUUUACCUGGUGGAGAGACCACAUACUGCCCCCACAGCUAUGAUAUAUCGGGCCACGUCCCAGCCCACUUGAGAGAAGACCUCGGGGAGGGGAGCAUCAUGGUCUAGGAGGUAGUACGGACUCAUCAGAGUAAUGGCUGCCGAUACUCCAAAGUAGGCCAGGAAACACCCAAAUAGAGACAGGACAAUGCUGAUGGGGAUGGCUUUCUGUGGGUUCUUGACUUCCUCCCCUGUUAAAACAUACUAACGAUUCAAAGAGGCAAUGAUUUGAUGAUAAGAUUUGCGACAACAUACUGUCUUAUUAUAUAUAAGGUUGUUGCAGCGACAAAAUAAGUGUAAUUCUUUUUAUACCAUUAGAUGAAACAAAAUAAACUUUUAAAUUGUC
rnacentral:sRNA from 1 species